GGAAGAGUCAAUGCUCUGAGGAGCUGCCUGUGAGAAAUCACGGAGGUAUGAAAUUCCAGCAGUAUGGAACCUUUGCAGUGUAAUGACAACAGAACUCUUGCAAUGUAGUGACAACACUGGAACCCAACCCCAGGGAGCCCCCGGGAUCCCCUCCCGGCCCCGCUCACCGUCCUGGCCCAGCGGCGGCGCCGAGGGCUCCGGGAACCGCUCGGGGUGCGGCUCGUACAUCACCAUGGGCACCUGCGGCCGCUGCUUCUCCGCCGCCAUCCCUGCGCUCACCUGCGAGAGAGGGGCAAAAUAAACCUUUCUUGCGCUCACCUGCGAGAGAAGGGCAAAAUGAAACCUUCCCUGCGUGAAUCUCCCUGCCCUGGGUUUGCCAGUGCUUCUGUGGCUCCUGCUUCUCACACUUCGGGUGGUGCUCAGAGGGAAAUUAGCACUUCUCACACUGGUUUUUUUGUAGGGUGGAGAGCAGUUAGUUCCUGACGCACUUUGUGAUGAGGAAGGUGGAAGGCAGAAAAUACCAUCUUAAUAAAAGAAAUACCAGUAUUUCUUUGUGCUGGGAAGCUAAAGAUGUUCCCACAGAAAACACUGCGCAAACUCGGGACUGAAAGAGUUACCUGAGCAGAAAAGAAGCUUUUUUUUUUUUUCCAAGUAAUCAAAAAAAGGGCAGAGCACACUUGGAGCCCCUGUGAAAAACCUUCCCGUGUGAUUAAGUCAGUGCAAUCAGCGGCAAUUCGGACCCGUCUUUCUUCGGGUUAUUGUGCAAACUUAUCAGCGUUGUUAUCGUGACCAGUUUUGUCCUGUGAAACUAUUGUCUCAUCGGUGUUGGCAGGAGCUGAUCCUCGCGAUAAAGGCGGGUGGGAGGAAGAGGACGGGGAUAGAGAUGUGUGUUUGUGUCCCUGCCAGCAGAAAGGUGAUAAUUAUUCCUAGCUGCCCCUUCAAGCAGUAUUAACUGGUUGAUUUCUUACUAACAUUUACUAGAAGAGUCCUUUGCAGAAAAAAGAGACAGCCUUGUGGCACAGGUCAGAGAGUGUUUUGGGGAAAAAAAAGAAGCACAAACUGCCCGAAUGCGUGGGGUAAAAGCAGCAGAGGAAUUGUUGGGCAAGGCAGGAUGGUCCCAACAGGUCUGUUUGCAAGAGGUGUUGGAGGGGGAAGACAAAACAGGGAGGAUCAGCUGUGCUGAGUUAAAGCAUCAGCCCCUCAGGGAAAAAAAAAAAUAAAAAGGGAUUUGACAAUAUCACCAGGGAAGAUGUACUGUAAUUUUCACAAAUCUGGAUGAACGGCAGGUGAUAUGAAAAAUGGUAGCAGAAUGAAUCAUUGAGGGAAUAGGUAGGAUGAUGUGGAGAAAACAAUCAGAAGUACAGCAUUGGCCAUGCUAAGGCCAAAGAUACCAAAGGAAAUUGCAAAUACAUGGAUUGGAGAGGACGGCUGGAGAAAGGUGCAUCUCAUUAUAAUUGUUAUAAAGGAGCUAAACCAGGGGAUUGGGAAUGGCAGAGGUGUUAACAGGCCAUUGAUGAAGCUUCCUGAGGAUCCCACCAAGAAGAAAAAAAGGUGUUGGAGAGGGAGAUAUAGGAGAGAACAGUGUGAGUAGCCCUGGAGGAAAACUCAUAAGGAGAAAUACCAGGCAGCAGUUCCUCAAGAGCAGGAAAAUGCCCUGUAAGCUUGUCUGCAGUGACAGCCAGGAGGUCACAAUGGACAGCCCAGGAUGAUGUGAGCUGCCCUCUCUGCAGCCACCCUGAGCAAACAGAGCAAGGGCAGAGCAGCCCCUGGGGUGGGCCUGGGUUUGUCCAACAGAUUGACUCCAACUCCUGCAAACUGCUUGAUUUGCAGGCAGAACUGCACAGUUCAGGGGCACCAAAACAGUUUUCUGUGUUCUCUCAACUUUUAAUCUCAUCUACACAUUGGUAUAAACGGGUUUGCACUGGAAAAUAAAGACUUUAAGUCAUGUGGAAAUCAGUAUUUAAAACAAGAAGUAACUCACACCCUGAGGGAUGUGCACAAAGAGCCAGCUCAGUGCAAGCAAGCACCGAUCUCUCUGUUCAGGAAGGAGAGACCCCAGGGGAGGGUGGGCAGGCAGUUUCCAUCAUUUUCCUCUGACUUGCUCCAGGAUCUGUGUUUGGGUGUGAGGAGCAGCCUGGUGCAGGCUGGGAGGCUGAUGAGCUGUGGAAUUCCAGGGCACAGCCCCGCUCUGCACGUCCCUCCUGAUUGUGCCUGCUGGCUCAAUAACCCCAGGUGGGGCUCAUUCAAACUCAUCUCUGCUUGGAAAAGGGUUUCACUUGGAAACCAGAGCUCCCUGCAGCGCUAAUACUCCUUCCAGGGUCAUACCUGGCUCUCAAGGAUGGCAUCUCAGCCUGCAGUGGCUUUGUAAGAAAUGUUUGAUCUCCAUUCCCGCUUCAUCUGCUGUCAGUGUGGGAUUUGCUGUUCAGUGCUCAGGGACAGAAAAAAGGGAACAUGGAAUUUGGGAGGAAACUUUAAGAAUAUAGGGUGCUACAUUCAAAACUUUGGUAUUUUGGAAGAUUAGCAUGAAAACAUGGAGAUCAUUACAGUAAAUGAUCUCCACAUUUCAUGGACAUGUGGAGGAAUAACAGUUUUCUCCAGAGGUCUGUUGGCUCUAGGACACUGGCCCAAAGGCUCUCAGUUUGCUAAAUGUGUUCUGGUUCUCCUGACAUCACUAAUUUAACAUUUUCCUGGGCAUUUAGCCCUUCCAGCUGUGUUUAUGAGGCAAUUUAAAUUUCUGAUAUUUUGAAGAGUGACCAUAAAAUGCCAUUGCUGGCAUGCAAUUACAUCCAGGGCUUGAACAAUAUCAAGAGCCUGUUUCACCUGAUUGAAGCAGUAAAUUCCAGUUUUUGGCCAGCAAUGAAACACUGAAUUCCUCAGUGGAGAGAUCUUUUCCCUUUAGUCCAGAGUUGGUCAUUUCAGGUAAUAUUCACAAUGUGCUGAGGGCUUUCAGAUGUUCAAAAAGGAAUAGCUCCAGCUCUAAUACAGACAAACAUAACUGGGGAGCAAGGCUCAGGUAUUUGCCUAUUCUCAUUCUUAAAUAGAAGCUAAAAGAGAGGACUGCUGGCAGCAAAUGAGAAUUUGGACUUUGGAAAGCAUUCAUUAUAUCUGGAGUAGACAGUCUUUUCAAGGAGAUGAAGAACACUCUGAAUUCCCCAUUCUUUACUCAUGAAAUUAAUUUUUUUUUUAUAUCACAGUUAUUCUGGCUUUUAAGCCUGAAUCAGGUUACCAGCCCCCUCAAAUGGAGAGGAUGUAGCUGAGGGGGCCUGGCUGAAAAUGCACCAAAUUUCCUGGUGCAGACUCUUCACCUGCUUCCCUUUUCCUUUCUGUUCACUGCCCUGGCUCCCUCCCUGCCUUGUGCACUCCCAGGCACUGCCUGGGUUUCCAGUCCUGCCCCACAUCAGAUGUUUGUGUUAGGUUAGUCCCUCCUGAAAGGAGCCCUGGUCUGUAAUUCAGCACAUUUACUGCUCCUGUUGCUCUCACCUUAAAGCAAUCCCAACCACUGUAAACUUUCCCAAACCUUCCAGUCUGGAAUUGUUAACAGUAGUUUCAUGCUGUGUGCUGUUGUGCCAGCAUCGUGCUUUUACAGAAAACCUUCUCCUCUGAGCCAGCACACAGAACAUUCCUGUCCCUUCUCAGGACUGAGCAAGGUUUGAUCCUUUUCAUUUCUGUACAGUGAAUUCAUCCUUCUUGUCCCUGAAUGGUCGGUGACCUCUGUCCUCAGCCCAUGGAAUGGCAGGAAUGUCAUCUUGUAUUUAAUGGAAAAGUUGUCUGCAGAACAAUCCAGCAGCCCUUAUUUCCUUUUCCCAGCCACCUCACGCUGGUGGUUUGUGUUUAAGUUGUCAUUAACCAGCAGCAGGUCUUUCUCCUCCAAUGUCAUUCUGCACUAAUGAACUCCCAGCUUGCAGCUGAAAUUUGGGGUAGUUUUUUAAGUGGCCUGCUUUGUUGCAUUAUAAUGCACACAAAUACUGCCACAGCAGGUCUCUAACUUUUCUUAUUCUGUGUAAUAGAUUUUCUGCUUCCAUAAUUUGUUUCUCAAGUCAUACAUUUUAUUAGCCACUCCUACAUUUCUGCCAAGGUUAUUAAUUAAAAUACUGAAUAAGAUCCAUCACUGCUUCCUGUGCUAACCUUAGAUGCAAACCAGGUUUAUCUAUUCAACCUUGUUCCUUAGUUUACUGUUUGAAGUAUAAUCCCUUGUUCCUUUGAGAUGACCAACUUUAUUCACAUUUAAAGGGCACUUGCUGUGAAGGGUGAGCACAGCUGAGCGCUGAGAUUGCAUUAGAACUGGUCCCUCCCUAAUUACCAUUCCAAAAAUAAAAUAAUAGCCACCAAGGGGAAGUAUUGUCCAGUGGUUU